AUCGAAAGUAAACCUAGGUCUUGCCCUAAACCCAACGCUCUGGUCUCUAACAUCUCAAGGCAUGAUAUCUAAAAAUUGAUACGAGAUCUUAAAACCAUGUCUCCACGUUCGUUUCUAAAACGUUCACAAAAAUUCUGCAUCUUUUACGAACAGACGAAAGAACGCUACACUAUGAGUUAGGUAUGAGACGACAACUCAUAUUCUUUUCUCUC
rnacentral:lncRNA from 1 species